UGUCCAGGGAUGGGAAUCGAACCCACAGUGUUCCGCUUACCAGGCAGAUGCCAUGUCCACUAGGCUACCGC